GGAUCUCAUUACCCAUUCAGUCUUAGGGAUUGCUUUCAUUCAGCAAGGCAAAAAGGCUUUGAGCAGUCCCACAAUUGCCUUAGUCUCAUUUAUUUGUGGUAGUAUUAAGGUUUAUUUGUUUUCUGGUUUGCACUUCUUCUGAAAUUAUUUCUCUUAGUUUAUUCAUUUAACAAAAUGUUCCUUCCUGUCACAGAAGAAAGUGCCUACAAGGCCUACAUAGGUUCUUCAGUCUUCAAACCUCCCUUUGAGAACAUUUCUUUCAACUCACAUUGCUGGAGCUCCUAAAUAUCUUUCAAGUGAUGCCAAGAUUGUAUGAAUAGAAGAGGGAGUACUUGGAUUAUGAGUGAAGAAGAGAGAGGAGUCCACGGAGCCAUGUGAGGUUUUGGAAGGGGAGCUGGGGGGUCCCACAUAUUUGCAAGUGUCCAGGAUGAGUUCUUCGCUUAUUUUGAAAUCAGGAAUAUCAUUGAUGAAUGGCCUCGCUCAAAUCCUGUAAUGAUGUCAAUAACAAUUCCAGUCCAGACAAUAACAAACUUCUCCAGCUGAUUGUUUUUCAUUUUUCAUGAGCACCUUCUCACUUGAGCCUGCAACAGAAAUAGUGUGGCCAGCAGGACAGGGAAGUGACUGUCUGUCUGUACUCAGCACUGAAUGCAUGCUGUGUUCCAUGUGAUAGCACUCAAGAUGAUCUGUUCCAUAAUGUCCUGUGAGACCAAGGAUGUCAACUGCUGUCCCAAAUGAGAAUGCCAAUUGAUCUACUAAACCCCGCAGAGUCAUCCAGUUUAUCUAGUUCUGUGUACCACUUAAUGCACGCAUGCAGACAGUGCCAUGUGACCAAAUGCAUGCCAGCGCCAAGUGACUGCAGAAUUCCUCUUCCUGCUGGGAUUAAUGACAGAAUCCAAAAAACAUCAACCAGGUUCCUGCAAAAGUGGAGUAGAGGCAAAUGAUGAGGUACAGCAAGUGACACCAGCAAAUUACGAAAUAGUCCCUGCAAGUUAUACAAGGAGACAGAGAAUCUAUUCUGCAUGAUCAGGAAGAACAAAGUGAUAAGAGCAGGUUUGAUGGAGGUUAUGUCUCACAGCUCUUUAGGUCAGAUAAUAAUGUGCUAUGUCAUUAAGCUGUGGUAUCACUUUCUUGACUAUUGUAACUGAUGACUCGUGAUAUGGAUAUGCUAUAAAGCAAGUAGUAUGUUUUGAAAACCCCAUCUAUAAAAUUGAGAUGUGUUUUCUGUAAGCUCUGCAUUUCUCUUUGCUCCUCCUUAGGCUAUUUCUUUGCCUUUCUGAGUCAUGAAUAAUAAACACAAGCACCUUUAUUUGACAGUUCAAAGUAAUAUAGCAAAUCACAUACAGAUCCAUGCAUAGACAUUAACACAUGCAAACAUAAGGGUAUGCACAUAUAUGAUAUUACUUGCAUAUAAUAUUCAAUAUUGUUAUGUAUGUACACGCACACUAGCAUAUGCCAUAUGUUCAAAGAGAGCAAGAAAGUGAAAGAAAGUGAGCAGGGUUGUUUAAACGAUUUUGGAAACCUUGGCUACUGUGCUGAUAAGCUUUAUGAAUAAUGCUAAAUAAAAGAGGGACCAGGAACAGAGGGCCAGGAGCACUGAGCUCCAGUUGACUGCUGUUUAAUUGUCACCUGCCUUCCUGAUGUUUUCAGCUACUCACAAUACUUCUCUUCCAAGCACAAUCUGGGGAAUAGCCUACUCUAGAAAAUAACCGCAAAAAGGCAACUUGGACAAGACUGGAUCUGUUUAAUGCCAUUUAUUUUCCUUCCACACUAUCCCAGAAGGUUUUGCACUUUCAGACAUACCUGUGUAUCUCUCCCUCAGUUUUGUGCUCUUCUGUUUUCUUUUGAUUGUUGCAGUCAACACAGCCUUCACAUUAACUGUGGUGCUCUGUUUUGAAAAUAAUUGGUAUUAAUAAUAAUAAUACAAAAGUGGUUUAUAUCCCUAGGAGCGCCACAAGGAGUCAAGGGAAGAUGGAGGGUUGUAUAAGGUGGAUAUGGCCAGUCUGCUCUAGAAGAUGCUAGCUCUCAGCAGUGGGAGCAACAUUCAGUUCAUGACACUUGGCUCUGGGACUAGGGAAAAGCUAUUUUUUGGUAGCAGCAUAGACAAAGCAAAGAAAGAUGUAUAGAGUACUUUGUAUUGAAUGUGUGUUGAAAGAGCCCAGUUCAUGUCUCUACACAAGCAAUACAGAACUCCUCAGUGAAAAUGACACAUUCAGAUUUGACUUUUUAUUAUAUUGGGACAACUGUCUGGACAGAUAAGGUGAGAGCAGUGGAUGUUUUGUACCUAGACUUCAUUAAGGCUUUUCACACUUUGAUGAUAGCCUCAUAGGCAAACUUAGGAAGUAUGGGCUGGAUGAGUGGACAGUGAGGUGGAUAGAUAACUGGCUGAAUGGCAGGUCUCAGAGUGUUGUGACCAGUGGCACAGAAUCUAGUUGGAGGCCUGUAGCUAGCAGUGUCCCCCAGGGGUCAAUACUGGGUUCACUAUUGUUAAACUUAUUCAUCAGUGACUUGGAUGAAGGGAUAGAGAGCACCCUCAGCAAGUCUGCUGAUGAUACCAAACUGAAAGGAGUGGCUGAUACACCAGAAAGCUGUGCUGGCAUUCAGAAGGAUCUUGACAGGCUGGAGAGAUGGACAGAGAGGAACAUCUCAAAAUUCAACAAAGGCAAAUUGCAGGAUCCUGCACCUUGUGAGGAAUAACCCCAUGCACCGGUACAGGCUGGAGGUUGACCUGCUGGAAAGUAGCUCUGUGGAGAAGGAACAAGGCAUCCUGAUGGACAACAAGUUAACCAUGAGCCAGCAGUGUGUCCUUGUGGCCAAGGUCUGUGAUAUCCUGGGUUGCAUUAGGAAAAGCACUGACAGCAGGUCAAGAGAGGUAAUUCUCGGCCCUGGUGUGACCACAUCUGGAGUACUGUGUCCAAUUCUGGGCUCCCCAGUAGAAGAGAGACUGGGAGCUCUGGGAGUGAGUCCAGCGAAAGGCUACCAAAAUGAUUAAGGGAGUGAAGAAUCUCUCAUAUGAGGAAAGGCUGAGGAAGCUGGGCCUGCUCAAUCUGGAGAAGUCUCAAGGAGGAUCAUGUGUAAGUAUCUGAAGGGAGAGUGUCAAGAGGAUGGGACCAGACCAUUGGUGCCCAGGAACAGGACGAGAGGCAAUGGGCAAAAACUAUAACACAAUAAGUUCAUUUGAACACGAGGAAAAACUUCUUUACAGGGAGGGUGACAAACCACUGGAGUAGGUUGUCCAUAGGGAUAAUUAUUGUUAUGUGAUCUAUUUGCAUGUAUCCAUGUUUUUGUGUGUAUAUUAUGUACCAUUUAUCCCACUAAAUCUUUCCUCCUGUACAGACAAAUCAGCUGUUAGACAUUUAAAAGCAAAAACCCAACUUUUAAAACUGUUCACUUUAAUAAUUAGGGUGAACAUAGGAGGCUUCAGCAAAUGCACAGGACUGGUGCAUUUCAAACAGGAAAAAUUGUAAGUGACAGUAACCCUUUAUCAAUUCAUUCCAAGUCAGUUAAUUAAACCAGAAAUUAUUUAAAUAAGGUGACAGUCAAAGGAAAAGGUCAAUGUUCCCAAUGUUUCAAUAGGUCUUCCUCAUCUCUGGAGUUUAAUUAACUCAUUUUGAACAAAAUUGUCAAAAGUAUGCUAAAACUCAUGAAGUUCUUUCCCUGUUUUUUAAAUGCAAAAUGACUAUUCUCAUCUCCACUGUGGAUUCUCAAACUGCCAGAAAGUGAAGAAAAUUCACUAAAUCCACAGAUAUAUAUACCUGGAACCUGAUGUAGCUGGAGAGGUGCCUUGCCAGUCCAUGGCCAACUGGUACCACUGCUGCAGAGUCCCCAUGGCAGUGGAUAUGGCUGUCACUAGGUCAGAAAAACAUCUGUGUAGCAUUUUACUCAAGUGCUGGGACUAAAGGUGCUGAUGGCCUCUUCAUUUACCUGUUCUCACUCUGACGUUUUGGGGUCAUGAAGACCUAUCUUCAUUGAAAAUAUACCUGAAAGACAGAUUCACCUCACUGCUUUCUUCCCUUUCUGUCAUCUGCCUCCGCUUUAUAAGGCCUACUCAAAAAUUUGAUUUCUUUGUAUAUAAAAUUGUGCUGUGCUUCUGUUGUGAAAGGAAUUAUGCACUUCAGUCCUUCGAGAGAAGCAGCAAUACAUUCAUUGAUGAAAACAGUGAUUUAGCAGAGUUUAAUCAUGAAUAAGACAGCAGUUUAAUGAACUUCUAAUGGUAAAUGCAACAUUAGUAAGAUUUGUGAUGGCAAGAUCACAUGAUUAUUUGCUGCAGAGAGGACAGGGUCAGAUUAAAGCAUCAGGGAGACCCUCAGGUUGAGGCAUGAGGUUCAGAAUGGAGUGUAUUUUGCCAUCCAACCUCUGUGGAGUCUAGAUACAUCCAGAUUCUAUUCCAAUCACAGACUUAAUGGUUUAUGCCUAAAGGAUUACAUGCACAGUCAAUCCUUUACAUCACUUAGCUAAGAUUACAAAGCUUCAGCAUGCUUAGCAAAUUAGUUUAAAAGUUUCAACAAGAUAGCUAUUAGUCACUUACUGAGUAUCUGUUGCAGGUUAGAAAUCUCUUGACCUUAAGGAGCAAACUUGAGAGGCAUCCCUGCUCAUGGGAAAAAUCCUGGCACACAGCCCUCUGCAAUCAAACAGAGAAUGGGUAUGAAGAGACUCUAUGAAGGAAAAUCCAAGGAGAAAAAUCCUGUACAAGAAGCUUUUUGGAAGCUGUUGAUCAAAAUAAAUUUGAUGUUACAAGCUGUA